rnacentral:rRNA from 1 species
CCACACUGUAAACGAUGGAUACUAGGUGUAGGAGGUAUCGACUCCUUCUGCGCCGAAGCUAACGCAUUAAGUAUCCCGCCUGGGGAGUACGGCCGCAAGGUUGAAACUCAAAGAAAUUGACGGGGACCCGCACAAGCAGCGGAGCAUGUGGUUUAAUUCGAAGCAACGCGAAAAACCUUACCAAGACUUGACAUCGUAUGAACGCUUAAGAGAUUAAGUUUUCCCUUCGGGGACAUAUAGACAGGUGGUGCAUGGUUGU